rnacentral:rRNA from 1 species
UACGGGGGGAGCAAGCGUUGUUCGGAUUUACUGGGCGUAAAGGGCGCGUAGGCGGUCGUGACAAGUCACUUGUGAAAUCUCCGGGCUUAACUCGGAACGGUCAAGUGAUACUGUCGGACUAGAGUACAGAAGGGGCAACUGGAAUUCUCGGUGUAGCGGUGAAAUGCGUAGAUAUCGAGAGGAACACCUGCGGCGAAGGCGGGUUGCUGGGCUGAUACUGACGCUGAGGCGCGAAAGCGUGGGGAGCAAGCAGG